CCUGCCCCUAGAAGCAUUGAAAGUAUGACUGCUUUGUCACAUGUUGUAUCAGUAGGUGGCAGAGAAGAGAAGGACUGUCUAUACUCAGGGUUCUGACCUAUAAACAUCUGAGUAAUUACUAAUCUGAGUGU
ensembl:snoRNA Gm22674 predicted gene, 22674